ensembl:snoRNA SNORA71 Small nucleolar RNA SNORA71
CCCCGUAUUUGAAAGUGAUCAUGGGCUGCCCAUGCCCUGAUCAUUGAGACUUCAGGGAGAGGGUGCCGAAAGCUGUCCCUGUGUUUGGAAAGUCCACUUCUGUCCUGACCAAACCCGGGUGCUUUUGAACA